UGAAGUUGAUCUGCUCUCAUAAUUUCCUUUCGGGUUGGUGAGCACAGAGCAUCGCAGUCGUGUGCCUGUGAUACCGGUUCCAGUUCCCGUUUGAAAAAGAAGAUCCUAGACAAGGAGCAAAAUAUAUUUGCGUGCACCGAGAGUCCUGUCACUCUUUUUGUUCAACAGCUUGCACACGCAGGCACUGCCCCCAACAUCCAUCCCAUCUUCCCCCUCUGUGAUGCAACAUACGGUUUAGCAGUUAAGAAUCCGCCUGCCAAUGCAGGGGACAUGGGUUCGAGCCCUGGUCCGGGAAGAUCCUACAUGCCGUGGAGCAACUAAGCCUGUGAGCCACAACUACUGAGCCCACGCGCCUAGAGCCCAUGCUCUGCAACAGGAGAAGCCGCCACAAUGAGAAGCCCGCGCACCGCAAUGAAGAG